rnacentral:rRNA from 1 species
AUUGAACGCUGGCGGCAGGCCUAACACAUGCAAGUCGAACGAGAGGCGGACGGGUGAGUAAUGUCUGGGCAACUGCCUGAUGGAGGGGGAUAACUACUGGAAACGGUAGCUAAUACCGCAUACCAUCGGAUGUGCCCAGAUGGGAUUAGCUAGUAGGUGGGGUAAAGGCUCACUUAGGCGACGAUCCCUAGCUGGUCUGAGAGGAUGACCAGCCACACGGGAACUGAGAAACGGUCCAGACUCCUACGGGAGGCAGCAGUGGGGAAUAUUGCACAAUGGGCGAAAGCCUGAUGCAGCCAUGCCGCGUGUAUGAAGAAGGCCUUCGGGUUGUAAAGUACUUUCAGCGGGGAGGCGUUACCCGCAGAGGAAGCACCGGCUAACUCCGUGCCAGCAGCCGCGGUAAUUC